UAGGGAGACCCGACCAGAGUCAAGGUGAAAAAACUAAUUAACCUGACUCUCGGACAAUCCCGAGGUCGUUCGGGGUGAAAUGGAAAUCGUUGUUUCAAACUGAGUUCGGUUCGGAGUAAGGGCUAUUAGCUCAGGUGGUUAGAGCGCACCCCUGAUAAGGGUGAGGUCCCUGGUUCAAGUCCAGGAUGGCCCACCUGAACCCCAAAGCCAAAUUCCCCUCCUCAACCCCAACAGUUAAACCUGUGGGCGAGUGAGGCGAGUGCGGAUGGCAUAACUCAAACGGGGGUAUAGCUCAGUUGGUAGAGCGCCUGCUUUGCAAGCAGGAUGUCAGCGGUUCGAGUCCGCUUACCUCCACCAAAACGCCCAAGCCAAGAUUGAGAAAAAUUCAGCACCGGCUGUCAGCAGCAGACUGCUGGAGAAAUUCUCCAGUCAAAGAACCUUGAAAACUGCAUAGUCAUAAGUCAGGCAAGAAGGAGAUUAGUUUUACUAAUCGACUUCACAGACAAAAAAAGUCAAGCAAAGCCAAAAAGCAAAAG
rnacentral:tRNA from 4 species